GAUGAACGCUGGCGGCGUGCCUAAUACAUGCAAGUCGAGCGAACAGACAAGGAGCUUGCUCCUUUGACGUUAGCGGCGGACGGGUGAGUAACACGUGGGUAACCUACCUAUAAGACUGGGAUAACUUCGGGAAACCGGAGCUAAUACCGGAUAACAUAUGGAACCGCAUGGUUCUAUAGUGAAAGACGGUUUUGCUAUCACUUAUAGAUGGACCCGCGCCGCAUUAGCUAGUUGGUAAGGUAACGGCUUACCAAGGCAACGAUACGUAGCCGACCUGAGAGGGUGAUCGGCCACACUGGAACUGAGACACGGUCCAGACUCCUACGGGAGGCAGCAGUAGGGAAUCUUCCGCAAUGGGCGAAAGCCUGACGGAGCAACGCCGCGUGAGUGAUGAAGGUCUUCGGAUCGUAAAACUCUGUUAUUAGGGAAGAACAAAUGUGUAAGUAACUAUGCACGUCUUGACGGUACCUAAUCAGAAAGCCACGGCUAACUACGUG
rnacentral:rRNA from 1 species